CUUGACAAACUUAUAAGAGGUCCAGCCUGCCCAGUGACCCUGUUCAACGGCCGCGGUAUCCUAACCGUGCGAAGGUAGCGUAAUCACUUGUUCUUUAAAUGAGGACUAGUAUGAAUGGCACCACGAAGGUUAUACUGUCUCCUUUUUCUAAUCAGUGAAACUAAUCUUCCCGUGAAGAAGCGGGAAUAAAAAUAUAAGACGAGAAGACCCUAUGGAGCUUUAAACAAAUAUACACCUGCCUCUCUACCAAAAAUUUCAGAAGACAAGUAAUUACUCAGGCAUUUUGAUAUAGCGUUUUAGGUUGGGGUGACCGCGGAGCAAAAAAUAACCUCCGCAGCGAACGGGAAUAUUCCCUAAACCAAGGGCCACAACCCCAAGUAUUGAAAAAUCAACACUAAUUGACCCAAUAAAUUUGAUCAAUGAAC
rnacentral:rRNA from 1 species